UACGUAGGGGGAAAGCGUUGUCCGGAAUCAUUGGGCGUAAAGCGCGUGUAGGCGGUUCGGUAAGUCCGCUGUGAAAGUCGGGGGGCUCAACCCUCGGAUGCCGGUGGAUACUGUCGGGCUUGAGUACGGAAGAGGCGAGUGGAAUUCCUGGUGUAGCGGUGAAAUGCGCAGAUAUCAGGAGGAACACCAAUUGCGAAGGCAGCUCGCUGGGACGUUACUGACGCUGAGACGCGAAAGCGUGGGGAGCAAACAGG
rnacentral:rRNA from 1 species